rnacentral:rRNA from 1 species
CGGUUAAACCGCCCUCGGGCGGACGUACAGUGGCGAACGGGUGAGUAACACGUGACCAACCUGCCCCGCGCUCCGGGACAACCGCUGGAAACGGCGGCUAAUACCGGAUACUCCGCGGCCCCCGCAUGGGGGCGGCGGGAAAGCCCCGACGGCGCGGGAUGGGGUCGCGGCCCAUUAGGUAGUAGGCGGGGUAGAGGCCCACCUAGCCGACGAUGGGUAGCCGGACUGAGAGGUCGAUCGGCCACAUUGGGACUGAGAUACGGCCCAGACUCCUACGGGAGGCAGCAG